AGGAUGAUCAGUCACACUGGAACUGAGACACGGUCCAGACUCCUACGGGAGGCAGCAGUGGGGAAUAUUGCACAAUGGAGGAAACUCUGAUGCAGCAACGCCGCGUGGAGGAUGACACAUUUCGGUGCGUAAACUCCUUUUAUAUGAGAAGAUAAUGACGGUAUCAUAUGAAUAAGCACCGGUUAACUCCGUGCCAGCAGCCGCGGUAAUACGGGGGGUGCAAGCGUUACUCGGAAUCACUGGGCGUAAAGAGCAUGUAGGCUGGUUUGUAAGUUGGAAGUGAAAUCCUAUGGCUUAACCAUAGAACUGCUUCCAAAACUGCAGACCUAGAAUAUGGGAGAGGUAGAUGGAAUUUCUGGUGUAGGGGUAAAAUCCGUAGAGAUCAGAAGGAAUACCGAUUGCGAAGGCGAUCUACUGGAACAUUAUUGACGCUGAGAUGCGAAAGCGUGGGGAGCAAACAGGAUUAGAUACCCUGGUAGUCCACGCCCUAAACGAUGCACACUAGUUGUUGCUAUGCUAGACAUAGCAGUAAUGCAGUUAACAUAGUAAGUGUGCCGCCUGGGGAGUACGGUCGCAAGAUUAAAACUCAAAGGAAUAGACGGGGACCCGCACAAGCGGUGGAGCAUGUGGUUUAAUUCGACGAUACGCGAAGAACCUUACCUGGCCUUGACAUAGAUAGAACUUACUAGAGAUAGUUUGGUGCUAGUUUACUAGAGCUAUCAUACAGGUGCUGCACGGCUGU
rnacentral:rRNA from 1 species